rnacentral:rRNA from 1 species
AGCAUCUAAGCGGGAAGCCUGUUCCAAGAUUAGGUUUCUCACCACCUUGAGUGGGUAAGACCCCCUACAGACUAUGGGGUUGAUAGGCCAGAACUGGAAGCGCAGUAAUGCGUGUAGGUGACUGGUACUAAUCGGUCGAGGGCUUACCACACA